GUUGUAUGGUUAAGUGACUAAGCGUACACGGUGGAUGCCUUGGCAGUCAGAGGCGAUGAAGGACGUAUUAACUUGCGAUAAGCCCAGAUUAGGCAGUAAAAGCCACUUGAGUCUGGGAUUUCCGAAUGGGGAAACCCACUUGCAUAAGCAAGUAUCAUUAACUGAAUACAUAGGUUAAUGAGGCGAACCGGGGGAACUGAAACAUCUAAGUACCCCGAGGAAAAGAAAUCAACCGAGAUUCCGAAAGUAGCGGCGAGCGAAAUUGGACUAGCCCUUAAGCUUUACACGCGUUAGACGAACGGUCUGGAAAGUCCGACGAUACAGGGUGAUAGUCCCGUAGUUGACGACGUGUGUUCAGUGAAAUCGAGUAGGGCGGGACACGUGAUAUCCUGUCUGAAUAUGGGGGGACCAUCCUCCAAGGCUAAAUACUACUGACUGACCGAUAGUGAACCAGUACCGUGAGGGAAAGGCGAAAAGAACCCCUGUGAGGGGAGUGAAAUAGAACCUGAAACCGUGUACGUACAAGCAGUAGGAGCAGGCUUGUCCUGUGACUGCGUACCUUUUGUAUAAUGGGUCAGCGACUUAUAUUCAGUGGCAAGGUUAACCAUCUAGGGGAGCCGUAGGGAAACCGAGUCUUAACUGGGCGUUCAGUCUCUGGAUAUAGACCCGAAACCAGGUGAUCUAGCCAUGGGCAGGUUGAAGGUUGAGUAACAUCAACUGGAGGACCGAACCGACUAAUGUUGAAAAAUUAGCGGAUGACUUGUGGCUAGGGGUGAAAGGCCAAUCAAACCUGGAGAUAGCUGGUUCUCCCCGAAAGCUAUUUAGGUAGCGCCUCGGACGAAUACUACUGGGGGUAGAGCACUGUUAAGGCUAGGGGGUCAUCCCGACUUACCAACCCUUUGCAAACUCCGAAUACCAGUAAGUACUAUCCGGGAGACACACGGCGGGUGCUAACGUCCGUCGUGGAGAGGGAAACAACCCAGACCGCCAGCUAAGGUCCCAAAUUACUACUAAGUGGGAAACGAUGUGGGAAGGCUCAGACAGCCAGGAUGUUGGCUUAGAAGCAGCCAUCAUUUAAAGAAAGCGUAAUAGCUCACUGGUCGAGUCGGCCUGCGCGGAAGAUGUAACGGGGCUAAGUAGUAAACCGAAGCUGCGGCAAUGUGCUUUUGCACAUUGGGUAGGGGAGCGUUCUGUAAGCGGUUGAAGGUGUGUGGUAACGCAUGCUGGACGUAUCAGAAGUGCGAAUGCUGACAUGAGUAACGAUAAAGGGGGUGAAAAACCUCCUCGCCGGAAGACCAAGGGUUCCUGUCCAACGUUAAUCGGGGCAGGGUAAGUCGACCCCUAAGGCGAGGCCGAAAGGCGUAGUCGAUGGGAAACGGGUUAAUAUUCCCGUACUUCUUACAAUUGCGAUGGGGGGACGGAGAAGGCUAGGUGGGCCUGGCGACGGUUGUCCAGGUUCAAGUGCGUAGGCUUAAGAGUUAGGUAAAUCCGGCUCUUUCUAAGGCUGAGACACGACGUCGAGCACCUACGGGUGUGAAGUCAUUGAUGCCAUGCUUCCAGGAAAAGCCUCUAAGCUUCAGAUUGUAAGGAAUCGUACCCCAAACCGACACAGGUGGUCGGGUAGAGAAUACCAAGGCGCUUGAGAGAACUCGGGUGAAGGAACUAGGCAAAAUGGUACCGUAACUUCGGGAGAAGGUACGCUCUUGAUGGUGAAGUCCCUCGCGGAUGGAGCUGACGAGAGUCGCAGAUACCAGGUGGCUGCAACUGUUUAUUAAAAACACAGCACUGUGCAAAAUCGUAAGAUGACGUAUACGGUGUGACGCCUGCCCGGUGCCGGAAGGUUAAUUGAUGGGGUUAGACUUCGGUCGAAGCUCUUGAUCGAAGCCCCGGUAAACGGCGGCCGUAACUAUAACGGUCCUAAGGUAGCGAAAUUCCUUGUCGGGUAAGUUCCGACCUGCACGAAUGGCGUAAUGAUGGCCACGCUGUCUCCACCCGAGACUCAGUGAAAUUGAAAUCGCUGUGAAGAUGCAGUGUACCCGCGGCUAGACGGAAAGACCCCGUGAACCUUUACUACAGCUUGGCACUGAACAUUGACCCUACAUGUGUAGGAUAGGUGGGAGGCUUUGAAGCACGUACGCCAGUAUGUGUGGAGCCGUCCUUGAAAUACCACCCUUGUAGUGUUGAUGUUCUAACGUUGACCCCUUAUCGGGGUUGCGGACAGUGCCUGGUGGGUAGUUUGACUGGGGCGGUCUCCUCCCAAAGAGUAACGGAGGAGCACGAAGGUGGGCUAAUCACGGUUGGACAUCGUGAGGUUAGUGCAAUGGCAUAAGCCCGCUUGACUGCGAGAAUGACAAUUCGAGCAGGUGCGAAAGCAGGUCAUAGUGAUCCGGUGGUUCUGAAUGGAAGGGCCAUCGCUCAACGGAUAAAAGGUACUCCGGGGAUAACAGGCUGAUACCGCCCAAGAGUUCAUAUCGACGGCGGUGUUUGGCACCUCGAUGUCGGCUCAUCACAUCCUGGGGCUGAAGUCGGUCCCAAGGGUAUGGCUGUUCGCCAUUUAAAGUGGUACGCGAGCUGGGUUUAGAACGUCGUGAGACAGUUCGGUCCCUAUCUGCCGUGGGCGUUGGAAGAUUGAAGGGGGCUGCUCCUAGUACGAGAGGACCGGAGUGGACGAACCUCUGGUGUUCGGGUUGUGUCGCCAGACGCAUUGCCCGGUAGCUAAGUUCGGAAUCGAUAACCGCUGAAAGCAUCUAAGCGGGAAGCGAGCCCUGAGAUGAGUCUUCCCUGAUACUUUAAGUAUCCUAAAGGGUUGUCGGAGACUACGACGUUGAUAGGUCAGGUGUGUAAGUGCUGUGAGGCAUUGAGCUAACUGAUACUAAUUGCCCGUGAGGCUUAACCAUACAACACCCAAGGGGUUU
rnacentral:rRNA from 1 species